rnacentral:ncRNA from 1 species
ACCCCUGUGAGAAUGCCCUACAGUUCCCCGCCCGGGAACAAGGAGCCGGUAUCAGGCACACAUUAUUAGCCCACGACACCUUGCUUAGCCACACCCUCAAGGGAACUCAGCAGUGAUAGACAUUAAGCCAUAAGUGAAAACUUGACUUAGUUAGAGCUAACAGGGCCGGUAAAACUCGUGCCAGCCACCGCGGUUAUACGAGCGACCCAAGUUGACAGUCACCGGCGUAAAGAGUGGUUAAAGAAUAAUUGAAACUAAAGCCGAACACCUUCAAGGCAGUUAUACGCACCCGAAGGCCAGAAGCCCAACUACGAAAGUGGCUUUAUCUUCCCUGAACCCACGAGAGCUCCGGCACAAACUGGGAUUAGAUACCCCACUAUGCCUAGCCCUAAACAUUGAUAGUACUCUACACCCGCUAUCCGCCCGGGAACUACGAGCAUUAGCUUGAAACCCAAAGGACUUGGCGGUGCUUUAGAUCCACCUAGAGGAGCCUGUUCUAGAACCGAUAACCCCCGUUCAACCUCACCUUUUCUUGUUUUCCCCGCCUAUAUACCGCCGUCGUCAGCUUACCCUGUGAAGGGUCCAUAGUAAGCAAAAUUGGCACAGCCCAAAACGUCAGGUCGAGGUGUAGCGUAUGGAAAGGGAAGAAAUGGGCUACAUUCCCUAAAAUUAGUGAAUACGGACGAUGCCCUGAAAAGGACAUCCAAAGGAGGAUUUAGCAGUAAGCAGAAAAUAGAGCGUUCCGCUGAAAUUGGCCCUGAAGCGCGCACACACCGCCCGUCACUCUCCCCAAGCUCAAAAAUUAACUAACUAAAACCCUAAAAUCGCAAAGGGGAGGCAAGUCGUAACAUGGUAAGUGUACCGGAAGGUGCACUUGGAAAAAU